CGUAGGGAGCGAGCGUUGUCCGGAAUUACUGGGUGUAAAGGGAGUGAAGGCGGGAUGGUAAGUUAGGUGUGAAAUGCGGAGGCUCAACCUCCGAGCUGCACUUAAAACUGCUGUUCUUGAGUGAAGUAGAGGUUGGCGGAAUUCCCAGUGUAGCGGUGAAAUGCGUAGAUAUUGGGAGGAACAUCAGUGGCGAAGGCGGCCAACUGGGCUUUUACUGACGCUGAGGCUCGAAAGCGUGGGGAGCAAA
rnacentral:rRNA from 1 species